rnacentral:lncRNA from 1 species
GGGCAGGAGAGAGCUCCGGAGAUCCGCAGGGGCCUGGCCGGAGAGCCGAGCGCAACCGACAGCAGCUGCGUCUGCGCCCGGGUUGCCGGAUCCCCCGCUCCCUGCUGUGCCGCGUCUGGAAGAAGCAAUCCUUGGCGCUCCCGCCGGCGGGGCACCGCACUCUCAACUCCUGAGGGCGGCCGGGGCUGCGGGAGCACGCUGGUCGCGCCGGGAGAGCGCCCCAAAGGCGGCGUGCGCGCAGGACGGGCGGCGGUGGCCUGCAGGCGGCGGAGUUCGGCGCGGCUUCUGCAGGGUGCGACCCCCGGGAGCGCCGGGCACGCGCGACGAUGAGGGC